UACGGAGGGGGCUAGCGUUGUUCGGAAUUACUGGGCGUAAAGCGUACGUAGGCGGCUUUUUAAGUCAGAGGUGAAAGCCCGGGGCUCAACUCCGGAACUGCCUUUGAAACUGGAAAGCUUGAACAUGGGAGAGGUAAGUGGAAUUCCGAGUGUAGAGGUGAAAUUCGUAGAUAUUCGGAGGAACACCAGUGGCGAAGGCGGCUCACUGGCUCGAUACUGACGCUGAGGUGCGAAAGCGUGGGGAGCAAACAGG
rnacentral:rRNA from 1 species